AACGAACGCUGGCGGCAUGCCUAACACAUGCGAGUCGAACGAGAUCUUCGGGUCUAGUGGCGCACGGGUGCGUAACGCGUGGGAAUCUGCCCUUUGGUUCGGAAUAACAGUUGGAAACGACUGCUAAUACCGGAUGAUGACGAAAGUCCAAAGAUUUAUCGCCAGAGGAUGAGCCCGCGUAGGAUUAGCUAGUUGGUGUGGUAAAGGCGCACCAAGGCGACGAUCCUUAGCUGGUCUGAGAGGAUGAUCAGCCACACUGGGACUGAGACACGGCCCAGACUCCUACGGGAGGCAGCAGUGGGGAAUAUUGGACAAUGGGCGAAAGCCUGAUCCAGCAAUGCCGCGUGAGUGACGAAGGCCUUAGGGUUGUAAAGCUCUUUUACCCGGGAUGAUAAUGACAGUACCGGGAGAAUAAGCUCCGGCUAACUCCGUGCCAGCAGCCGCUGUAA
rnacentral:rRNA from 1 species